CUUAAAUAAUGAAAAUCAAACUAUGAUAAAAGUUAGGAAACGUGCAGAACCACCAGGAAAACAGCAAUUUGCUUUCAGCGUACCUUUGCAAGGAUGUUCCAAAGCCUCAUGUACGAGUGAGAUUUCUGGGCCACUUGCACAAGUAGAUAAACCCUCUUCUCAGGCCAGUUAUAAAGGGCUGAGAUGAGCCACAGAAGCCCAAGAUCUGCUCUGAUUGUCUCCUAGCUAUUUUCUUUCCUCUUUUUUUUUUGAGACAGGGUUUCACUCUGUCACCCAGGCUGGAGUAUAGAGUACAGUGGCAAUCAUAGCUCACUGCAAGCUUCAACCUCCCAGGCUCAGAUGAUCCUCCCAACUCAGCCUCCUGGGUAGCUGGGACCCCAGCCAUGUGCCACUGCAUCUGGCUAAUUUUUUAAUCUUUUGUACACAUGGGGUUUUGCCAUGUUGCCCUGGCUGGUCUCAAACUCCUGGGCUCAAACAAUCCUCCCACCUCAGCCUCCCAAAGUGCUGGGAUUACAGGGGUGAGCAGAUCGCCUGAGCCCAGGAGUUUGAGACCAGCCUGGACAACAUGGCAAAAUCCC
rnacentral:lncRNA from 10 species